GACGAACGCUGGCGGCGUGCCUAAUACAUGCAAGUUGAGCGCUGAAGGUUGGUACUUGUGCCAACUGGAUGAGCAGCGAACGGGUGAGUAACGCGUGGGGAAUCUGCCUUUGAGCGGGGGACAACAUUUGGAAACGAAUGCUAAUACCGCAUAAAAACUUUAAACACAAGUUUUAAGUUUGAAAGAUGCAAUUGCAUCACUCAAAGAUGAUCCCGCGUUGUAUUAGCUAGUUGGUGAGGAAAAGGCUCACCAAGGCGAUGAUACAUAGCCGACCUGAGAGGGUGAUCGGCCACAUUGGGACUGAGACACGGCCCAAACUCCUACGGGAGGCAGCAGUAGGGAAUCUUCGGCAAUGGACGAAAGUCUGACCGAGCAACGCCGCGUGAGUGAAGAAGGUUUUCGGAUCGUAAAACUCUGUUGGUAGAGAAGAACGUUGGUGAGAGUGGAAAGCUCAUCAAGUGACGGUAACUACCCAGAAAGGGACGGCUAACUACGUG
rnacentral:rRNA from 1 species